rnacentral:rRNA from 1 species
GUACACGCUGUGACUAGCAUAUCAAUAAGCGGAGGAAAAGAAACUAACAAGGAUUCCCCUAGUAACGGUGAGUGAAGCGGGAAGAGCUCAAAUUUGAAAUCUUAAAGGGUUUCCCUUUACGAAUUGUAGUUUAAAGAAGUGUUUUCUGUUGAGGUUUUGGUAAAAGUUCUUUGGAAUAGGACAUCAUAGAGGGUGAGAAUCCCGUAUUUGACCUUUACUUUCAACUUUGUGAUAGCACUUUCAAAGAGUCGGAUUGUUUGGGAAUGCAGUCCAAAAUGGGUGGUAAAUUUCAUCUAAAGCUAAAUAUUGGCGAGAGACCGAUAGCGAACAAGUACCGUCGAGGGAAAGAUGAAAAGAACUUUGAAAAGAGAGUUAAACAGUACGUGAAAUUGUCAAAAGGGAAGCGUUUGACACCAGUGUUGUUUUUCUGAAAAUCAAUUAAAGAACUGUUUAUGCUAAGUUGUUUAGACUUUAUCAGCUAACUGUUUAGUUUUGAGCUUUUCUUUAAUGCACUUUUCAGUUAACAAGUCAACAUCAAUUUCUUUUGCUGUAAAAAAGCUUGAGGAAGGUGGCUUGAGAUUCGUCUUAAGUGUUUAUAGCCUCUUGCCUAUGCAGUCGGAGAGAUUGAGGUCUGCAGCGUAGAUCCUUCGGGGCUAAAUGCAUUUGUGCUAAGUUAUAAGCAUUUUAUAGACAACUUGUUGACUAUGAUUUGUCUUGUAGCUUACUCGCUUAUGUUAUUUUACCUACGCUUAGGAUGUUGACGAGACUGUCGAUCUC